rnacentral:misc_RNA from 1 species
UCGUAACAAGGUUUCCGUAGGUGAACCUGCGGAAGGAUCAUUAAAUAAUCAAUAAUUUUGGCUUGUCCAUUAUUAUCUAUUUACUGUGAACUGUAUUAUUACUUGACGCUUGAGGGAUGCUCCACUGCUAUAAGGAUAGGCGGUGGGGAUGUUAACCGAGUCAUAGUCAAGCUUAGGCUUGGUAUCCUAUUAUUAUUUACCAAAAGAAUUCAGAAUUAAUAUUGUAACAUAGACCUAAAAAAUCUAUAAAACAACUUUUAACAACGGAUCUCUUGGUUCUCGCAUCGAUGAAGAACGUAGCAAAGUGCGAUAACUAGUGUGAAUUGCAUAUUCAGUGAAUCAUCGAGUCUUUGAACGCAACUUGCGCUCAUUGGUAUUCCAAUGAGCACGCCUGUUUCAGUAUCAAAACAAACCCUCUAUCCAGCAUUUUGUUGAAUAGGAAUACUGAGAGUCUCCUGAUCUAUUCUGAUCUCGAACCUCUUGAAAUGUACAAAGGCCUGAUCUUGUUUAAAUGCCUGAACUUUUUUUUAAUAUAAAGAGAAGCUCUUGCGGUAAACUGUGCUGGGGCCUCCCAAAUAAUACUCUUUUUAAAUUUGAUCUGAAAUCAGGCGGGAUUACCCGCUGAACCUAAGCAUAUC